UAGGGAAUCUUCGGCAAUGGACGAAAGUCUGACCGAGCAACGCCGCCGUGAGUGAAGAAGGUUUUCGGAUCGUAAAACUCUGUUGGUAGAGAAGAACGUUGGUGAGAGUGGAAAGCUCAUCAAGUGACGGUAACUACCCAGAAAGGGACGGCUAACUACGUGCCA
rnacentral:rRNA from 1 species